rnacentral:rRNA from 2 species
CAGUAACGGCGAGUGAAGCGGCAACAGCUCAAAUUUGAAAUCUGGCUCCUUCGGGGUCCGAAUUGUAAUUUGUAGAGAGUGCUUCGGGCGAGACCUCGGUCUAAGUCCAUUGGAACAUGGUGUCAUAGAGGGUGAGAAUCCCGUAUGCGACCGUGGCUCGAGCCCAUGUGAAGCCUCUUCGACGAGUCGAGUUGUUUGGGAAUGCAGCUCAAAACGGGUGGUAAAUUUCAUCUAAAGCUAAAUACUGGCUGGAGACCGAUAGCGCACAAGUAGAGUGAUCGAAAGAUGAAAAGCACUUUGGAAAGAGAGUCAAACAGUACGUGAAAUUGUUGAAAGGGAAGCGCUUGCAACCAGACCUGCCCGUAGGCGAUCAGCCGCUGUUCUCAGCGGUGCACUCGCUCUGCGAUCAGGCCAGCAUCGGUUUCGGCGGUCGGAUAAAGGCCUUGGGAAUGUAGCUUCCCUUCGGGGAAGUCUUAUAGCUCUCGGUGCAAUGCGGCCAGCCGGGACCGAGGACCGCGCUUCGGCUAGGAUGCUGGCGUAAUGGUUGUAAGCGACCCGUCUUGAAACACGGACCAAGGAGUCUAACAUCUAUGCGAGUGUUUGGGUGUCAAACCCAUACGCGGAAUGAAAGUGAACGGAGGUGAGAACCCUUAAGGGUGCAUCAUCGACCGAUCCAGAUGUCUUCGGAUGGAUUUGAGUAUGAGCAUAGCUGUUGGGACCCGAAAGAUGGUGAACUAUGCCUGAAUAGGGUGAAGCCAGAGGAAACUCUGGUGGAGGCUCGCAGCGGUUCUGACGUGCAAAUCGAUCGUCAAAUUUGGGUAUAGGGGCGAAAGACUAAUC